rnacentral:misc_RNA from 1 species
AUUUAGGGGUUAUUUUUAUUUUCGAUUGAGAUGUAUUUUUAUGUUUUGAUUGAUAAGAUGGGAAAUAAUUUUUAGUUUAUUUAAUUAACGAGUCCUUGGUAAUUUUUGAAAACCCGGGUGUUGAGAAUAUUAGUUUUUGAAUUGGUUUUUAAGUUAAAUAAGGAAUUUUAAGGGAUUUAUUGAAUAUAAGGACUUUUUGGG